rnacentral:lncRNA from 1 species
GCGCUCUGAAAGUAGGGUUACCAAUUAUAAGAGGUAAUUUCUAAUUUCACUUUAUACAUUUUCACUCUUAAAAAAGGUUAUGAAACCCCCUCAUAUUUGUGAUUUUUAGGUUCCAUGACUGAUCUUGGGGAAAUCUCCUCUGUGUUUAAUGGCUUUGUGCAUAAUUUAAAACUUUAAAGUAAUCUCACACUUUAUUUACAACAUAGCUACCAUAGUUUCUUAAACGAAUGAUGAACAACUGUGACACAAUGUUAAAUUGCUUAAAUAUGAUUGUAGGUACAAAUGCAUGGAUGAUAAAAAUCUGACACGAAAAAAUAUAUAGAACAUGAUUACAA